rnacentral:rRNA from 1 species
CGUAGGGUGCGAGCGUUAAUCGGAAUUACUGGGCGUAAAGCGUGCGCAGGCGGUUUUGUAAGACAGAUGUGAAAUCCCCGGGCUCAACCGGGGACCUGCAUUUGUGACUGCAAGGCUAGAGUACGGUAGAGGGGGAUGGAAUUCCGCGUGUAGCAGUGAAAUGCGUAGAUAUGCGGAGGAACACCGAUGGCGAAGGCAAUCCCCUGGACCUGUACUGACGCUCAUGCACGAAAGCGUGGGGAGCAAACAGGAUUAGAUACCCUGGUAGUCCACGCCCUAAACGAUGUCAACUGGUUGUUGGGUCUUUACUGACUCAGUAACGAAGCUAACGCGUGAAGUUGACCGCCCUGGGGAGUACGGCCGCAAGGUUG